rnacentral:ncRNA from 1 species
CCAAAGGCUCUUUUCAGAGCCACACACUGCUUCUCAGAAGGAACUG